GAUGAACGCUGGCGGCGUGCCUAAUACAUGCAAGUCGAGCGAACAGACGCAGCGGUUGCUCCUCUGACGUUGGCGGCGGACGGGUGAGUAAACCGUGGAUAACCUCCCUAUAAGACUGGGAUCACUUCGGGAAAACGGAGCUAAUACCGGGUAAUAUAUUGAACCGCAUGGUUCAAUAGUGAAAGACGGUUUUGCUGUCACUUCUAGAUGGAUCCGCGCCGCAUUAGCUAGUUGGUAAGGUAACGGCGUACCAAGGCGACGAUGAGUAGCCGACCUGAGAGGGUGAUCGGCCACACUGGAACUGAGACACGGUCCAGACUCCUACGGGAGGCAGCAGUAGGGAAUCUUCCGCAAUGGGCGAAAGCCUGACGGAGCAACGCCGCGUGAGUGAUGAAGGUCUUCGGAUCGUAAAAUUCUGUUAUUAGGGAAGAACAAAUGUGGAAGGAACUAGGCACGUCUUGACGGUACCUAAUCAGAAAGCCACGGCUAACUACGUG
rnacentral:rRNA from 1 species